GACGAACGCUGGCGGCGUGCUUAACACAUGCAAGUCGAACGGUGAAGCGCCUUCCUUUUUGGUGGGUGUGGAUGAGUGGCGAACGGGUGAGUAACACGUGAGUAACCUGCCCCCUUCUUCUGGAUAACCGCAUGAAAGUGUGGCUAAUACGGGAUAUUCUGGGUCUGUCGCAUGAUGGGUCUGGGAAAGACAUUGUUUCGGUGGGGGAUGGGCUCGCGGCCUAUCAGCUUGUUGGUGGGGUGAUGGCCUACCAAGGCGGUGACGGGUAGCCGGCCUGAGAGGGUGGACGGUCACACUGGGACUGAGACACGGCCCAGACUCCUACGGGAGGCAGCAGUGGGGAAUAUUGCACAAUGGGCGCAAGCCUGAUGCAGCGACGCCGCGUGAGGGAUGGAGGCCUUCGGGUUGUGAACCUCUUUCGCCAGUGAAGCAGGCCUGCCUCGUUUGUGGGUGGGUUGACGGUAGCUGGAGAAGAAGCGCCGGCUAACUACGUG
rnacentral:rRNA from 1 species